GUUCCGGCCCGCGGUGGGCGCUUGUCUUUUCGUCGGUAGCAGCGGUCUCUCACAGGCUCCGGGCUGCAGCUCCGAUCUGCUUGAUGCGAGUCCGCCGGCGCUGGCAGGGACGAAGCCUGCUACCUGGUGACUGGUCCCCGGCAUGGAGAGACAAAUCUCGGCUGAUCACCGCAGCAUCCGCAGAUGGUUGACAGCGGUUGCAGAGUAGAUUAAGUGCGUGAAAGGCGCCUGGGGACAUUCAGCUUGUGUGAGGAGCAGUGAAUGGAUCGUGGGUGCUCCGAGUGCUAACGGGGGUCUUCCUGAUCUCAGGGUCAGUCUGUGGCUUGCCUUCGCCGGCUGGUUGUUUCUCUGAGCGUUUCAUUUGGCUUGGCCUCACAUGGAGUGAUUGGGGGAGAUUUGCUUCUUUGGGUUUUGUAUUGGACAUGUAUUUAAGAAAAAACUGGACUCUGGCAAAACUUCUGCUACUAAAAAUUGUUUUAAAAAAAAUGACUUUCUGCAUGUGUGACCUAGGGGGGCACAAGCGGGUGCUUGGGCUGACAGGCACAGCCUGGCUAAGCAGCCCAGUGUAGCCUGCAGGAACGCCAUGCCCGAUGCUGUCCAGUUGUGUACUUGGUGCCAGGUGAGCAUCAGUAAAACUCCCAGAAGAUAGAGAAAGAAACACUGAGCUUGACAGCUGUGGUUGGCAGUGAGGGGAGGCCCAGUCCAAUCAGAAAGUGGCUUCGGCUGUGCUGCUGCAUGAAAAUACAGCAGAGCAUUCUGGGAAUCGUAUGCUCCUUAGCUGCAGGAACAUGAUUUCUCCAUUGCCCCCGGCCCCCUGCAGCUGUGCCAUGUCUAGACAUGACCAGAUGGGGUGUCGGUACCUCAGUGGCCUUUCCUGCCAAACGCCCUUCCUUGUCUCCCAGGUGACACGUGCCUUGGUGCCGUGUGUCACACGUGUGACUCUGCCACCUUGGUGCCGUGUGACACACGUGUGACUCUGCCGCCUCGGUGCCGUGUGUCACACGUGUGACUCUGCCGCCUCGGUGCCGUGUGUCACACGUGUGACUCUACCGCCUCGGUGCCGUGUGACACACGUGUGACACUGCCGCCUCGGUGCCGUGUGACACACGUGUGACACUGCCGCCUCGGUGCCGUGUGUCACACGUGUGACUCUGCCGCCUCGGUGCCGUGUGACACACGUGUGACUCUGCCGCCUCGGUGCCGUGUGUCACACGGGUGACUCUGCCGCCUCGGUGCCGUGUGUCACACGUGUGACUCUGCCGCCUCGGUGCCGUGUGUCACACGUGUGACUCUGCCGCCUCGGUGCCGUGUGUCACACGUGUGACUCUGCCGCCUCGGUGCCGUGUGUCACACGUGUGACUCUGCCGCCUCGGUGCCGUGUGACACACGUGUGACUCGGCCGCCUUGGUGCCGUGUGUCACACGUGUGACUCUGCCGCCUUGGUGCCGUGUGACACACGUGUGACUCGGCUGCCUUGAGUCUUGGUUCUCUCGGCUCUCGUACCCAGCUCUUGUUCUUCUGGCAUGUGGGGGUGGGUUCCUGCCCAGAACAGUCAUUGUGCACUUAUCCAGGCCAGCAGGGCUCCAGGGUGUCACCUUGGGGUGUGAUGGGGCAAUCAAAGCAGCGUGUUCCAGCCCUCCGAGUAUCGCCUGCACCCCACACCACGUUUUCAUGAGUUGGACUCAACUAGGAUGGAAUACAGGCCAACAUAAUCCAUCGGAACGAUUAAGAGAAAUGGGCUGUCUGAGAUGAUCUGUGCAUAGGGGUGUCAUGCUUGUGAUGAGUCACUCUGGGAUUGAGGCUUCUCAGGCCCCGUUUCACUUAGGACAGCUGAGGUGUAGAUAAGCGGAGAGACCAGCCCUUGGAGGUGUAGAUGAGCGGAGAGACCAGCCCUUGGAGGUGUAGAUGAGCGGAGAGACCGGGCCCCCCGGAGGUGUAGAUGAGCGGAGAGACCGGGCCCCCCGGAGGUGUAGAUGAGCGGAGAGACCGGGCCCCCCGGAGGUGUAGAUGAGCGGAGAGACCGGGCCCCCCGGAGGUGUAGAUGAGCGGAGAGACCAGCCCUUGGAGGUGUAGAUGAGCGGAGAGACCAGCCCUUGGAGGUGUAGAUGAGCGGAGAGACCGGGCCCCCCGGAGGUGUAGAUGAGCGGAGAGACCGGGCCCCCCGGAGGUGUAGAUGAGCGGAGAGACCGGGCCCCACGGAGGUGUAGAUGAGCGGAGAGACCGGGCCCCCCGGAGGUGUAGAUGAGCGGAGAGACCGGGCCCCCCGGAGGUGUAGAUGAGCGGAGAGACCGGGCCCCCCGGAGGUGUAGAUGAGCGGAGAGACCGGGCCCCCCGGAGGUGUAGAUGAGCGGAGAGACCGGGCCCCCCGGAGGUGUAGAUGAGUGGACGUGGUAAGAGAUGCCCUCUCCUUUGAAAUUGCCUCUCUGUCCCCCCCCACCACCCGACCCA